CAACGCGGAGGGCGCGACCUCAUCACGACGCGAGGGAAGGGGUGUCGAGGCCGCCUCCAUACUCGAAGCGACCAUGUGGUGCACAACUACACAGCGCCUGGCGCUCCUCGCGAGCCUCCUGUGGCUCGUGUCAGGUGUGCAGGCGGCCAUCUCCUUCAACCUUAACAGCGUCGAUUACCCUGUGUAUGUUGACGAGAAGAUGUCGGCGAAGGAGUACGCCGUUCUUCCGGGAGGCGGCAGCGCAUGCUUGCUGUUGUCCCUGGACAACGGACUGGGCGGUGUCGUGCGCUUCGCCUACUCGUCAAACGUGUCGAACCUGCACUGGCGCUCCGAUGUGCUCGUGUCGACCCACCAGCCGAGUGCCUCGCAUCCAUCCGUAGCGAUUCUGGACAAGGCCGACGCCGUCAUCCAAACAAAGCUCUACAGCGCGGAGGAGUUGGAGCGACGGAACAGGGCGGGUGGGGCGGUGCAGCAGUCUCGGACCACCGCGGUGAGCAUUCGGCCGGCGCAGGACGGCACCGGCCCUGCGGCAAAGUUCAUUGAUGGCAACUAUGCCGUCUGCUUCCGCCUCAUACGCUCCAAGGCAGCAGCACAAAAGCCGUCGUCGACGCAGUACGAAGAGGUGAAGGUUCAGCUUUUCGAGGUAGCCUCCACGCGCCACUCCACCUCCACGUACAUCUCGAGGCUUAACGACGCCGCCGCGAACUCGCAGAAUGGCAAUGGGGCAGCAGGGGGCACCAUGGCAGAGGUGAACCGUGAAUAUGCAAAGAUGAUUCGGUCCCUCUUCCGCUCGAGCAGCUCCGCCGAUCUGCGCAAGCUUCUUGACGAGGAAGAGCCAGUGUCAUCAGAGGAAGUGAAGAGUCGGCUUGAGGAAAUCAGGGCCCUGCAGAAACAACUUUUCGGACUCUAUAACAACUUCGAGUACCUGGAGAGUCGCUUCCGGCGCAUGCGUGCCACCGCCGAGACAACCUUCAGCCGCAUUUGGCUUUGCACGCUCUUCACCUUGGCGGUCAUGGGCGGCACGGUGUGGUUCACCUUUCACUACACGAAGAGCAUCAUCAU
rnacentral:misc_RNA from 1 species